CUGACGAGAGAUGAAAAAUUGGAAAACAUUGUAUUCUAUCCUCAAGGAACUUAAAAAAGUCUAGACAAGUAGUCGAAACUGAUAUAAAUUAAACAAUUGACUAUAUGAUGAUUUUAUAGUUAAUUUUAUUAUUUAAUGUAUUACUUAUUAAUAAUACUUAAAGUUAUUUACAGAGAAAUUUUCUUUAUGGCAUUUAUACUAAUGAAAAAAAAGAAAAUACAGAACGAUUUUUUAAUAAAUGAUAGCAAAAACAAAAUAGAGAAUUUUAAAUGCCUUACAGCAGAGAAUUGGCUAAAUAAUUUGUGGUUCAUAUGUAAAAUGGAGUACCACAGAUUCAUCAAAAAUUAUGUUGAAAAAGGAUGUAUAUUGGCAUUUUAGUGUUUUGUUAGUACAUUUUAAAAACAACUUGCAAAACAUUAUGAUUCCAGAAGUGGAAAAACUAAGCCUGAAUAGAAAAAAGUCUGGAAGGAUAUACAUAGUGUUAAAGUGGUUUUCUCAAGAUGAAGAGCUUAUGAGUGGUUUUUCUUUGUGCCUAACUGGUUUUUAAAAACUUUUUCUCUUAAUAUAAAUGUAUUAGUUCUCUAAUAAAGAAAGCCAAUAAAAGUUAUAAAAUUCAAGACAUGUGUAAUUAAAUUCUAAUAAGAACUUAAGUGUUGUAGGUGUUAAGAGGGGAAAAAAAAAUUUAUGAGGGCUUGAGCAGCCAGGAAAGGUUUCACAGAGAAGGUGGAAUUUGAGUUGAAUGUCAAGGCUAGGAAGGAUCAGAGAGGAGAAAAUGUGGUGGGCCAUUCAACACAACUUUGCUCAAAGAAACUUGAAGAAAUUUUGCUGUAGACAGAAGUAAUCUGACAAUUUUAGAAUUAGUGUGAAAAGAAAGUCUUGAUGAUUUUAUUCUAACAAAAAUGAAGUUGAAAUUGAAUUGUUUUUCUCAUCCCACCUAAUGAUUUUUUGAGGGGCACAGAAUUGAGUUCACUAGCUCUAUAGCAAUUUCCUCCUACAAUAUAUGACCCUACUUACCAUUUCUAAUCUAUUAAAAAAAACCCACCUGUUUAUGUGAUAGAAUUACACAAGGGCAUCCAACCUGAACACUGGUAACAGUCCUGUCCCCACGGGUAUGCAUCAGGCACAGUGCCUCUGUGAGUGGCAGAGGGGCCUCAUCCGUCUCUUCUUUUUCCCAAGAUGCUUCCUACAUAGAUCUCCCACUGCACCACACACUGAGAAGCUCAGUUCAGUGUGUUUCAGGUGGUAGGUGUGUGUGGAAACCCAAUGACUCAUGCUUAGACUUGAUUCAGGCCUUUGGUGAUCUUGCAGACGGAUGAAAACAUGGAGGCGUGCUGUGUUCCAGUUUCACUUCAUCACCCUCUGGAUUUACAGCUCUGCCCAGUUCUGUCGUCAUUGCAGGCAAGAUCCUCUUGUAUGAUAGGAACCAGUAACAGUCACCAGACCAGAAUUUGAGCACACACAUCCUUAAGGCCACCAGUGAAAAGACUAUAGGGUCACAUAGCUCAUACCAUUUCAAGGAUUCAUUGUCUAACUGCAGGUAAUGUAUGAUCAUUUUAUAUACUGCCACAUAUUCAUUAUUCAUACAAUUUUCUAUUAAUUUUUAAUGCAUCCAAGUUCCUAGUUAUUUAACAUAUAAUGCAAUCAGCCAGACAUCUUCAUAAAGCUAUGAAAAGUGGCUCUGAGGUACUCUUCCGUAGCAUCUCAAUCUAUUAACCAGCUGAUGAGACAGUACUGCUCUUAACCAUGGGCAAGAUCCCUGCCUUGGGUCACCACACCACAGAAGUCCUCAUGAUUUGGAUGGCGUUACUUGAAGUCCCCAGCUGCAAUGCUAUUUGGGUUUCAGUGUCCAAGUCAGAUCUCAUUUCUCCCCUUUAGGGCAAUGUGCUUCUCUCUAGCCAGCCUAUGAGGUUGACCAGAUAUCUACAGGAGCUCCAGAAUUCAUGCUUAUGUAUUUUCUUGAAGCCAAAGUGGGGCCUAAUUUAGGAGAGCAGCUUGGUCAGCAUUUGUUCCCACUGACCCUGGGCAGCAAGUUAUUUCUUUUGUAAUAUUGCAUGACAUUGGACCACUAGAAUGGUGCUGACAUGCUGAUUUGGAGUAACUCUCCUUCACAGGGGAUGAAGAAGAUACGAAUGUUCACAUCAGGCAAUAAACACCAUUAUUUUAAAUCUUCAUCAGUAACAUGGGUUCAUUUUCCAAUAAAAUUAUUGAUACACAUACGGACCUGCGAAAUACAUUUGCCUAGGGCUCACACUCCCCAGGGAUAGCCUUAUCCUAGGGAACCACUGUAGGUUCUUGAACAAGGACUGAUGUGGACUGAGUAUUUAGAAAAGGAGAUGCUGGUGCUGGCGAAGAGCAGGGAGAGGGCUAUGGUGUCCGCAAGGCUAAGAGGAGUCAGUGCAGAGAAGUGAAAGCACUCUGAUUAAGUACUUCAUUUCCCUUAGGAGUCUCCUAGCUCUAUUUGUUUGGGAUUCUAAUGUGGCCUGAGGCAAUAAGGGCCUUGAUGUGAUGCUGCUGGAACCUACAGUGGAAAGAAGUGAAGAAAUAUUUUAAUGUAAUGCCAGCGCAGGUAAAAAUGAUAGUGUGUGUGUAACUAUGUGUCAGGUGUCAUUCUGAGCACUUUGCACACUUGGGCUUUUUCAGUCCUCAUGUCAAUCUUUAUUAUUCACAUUCUCCAGAUGAGGAAACAGAAUUAGAGAAAGUUGAAUAACUGGCCAAGGUGACAUGCUACUGUUAUUGGCAAAUUGUAGAGGAUCUGAAGAUGUGGGAGGGAUCACGGGUUUCUCCAUGUGUUCAAGGCUGGAGGUCAGGGAACACAAUUUGGAUGGUUUUGUGGUUAGUUUCCUUGCUUUGUUUUGUUUUCUCACUGGUUAUGGGAGUGAGGGCAUUGGGACAAUGAGUGUCUAAGUAUCUGUGAUAGUGAGUCACCAGCAUAGAAAUGUCCUGCAGAGAUUUGGAAAUACCCCCAGAGAUCAGAUGAGAGGUUGGCCUGGAGAUUGUGGAUGUGGAAUCAUCAGAGAUGAGGGGUACAGUUAUGUGAAUGGGAGAGGUGACUAACCUCCAGGAUACAGUGGGCAGAAUUUCUUAAGAGAACCAGCUUGGGAGGGAGAGCUCUGUGGGCAAGACUCCAGCAUCAACUCAGCAACUAAAAUCCCCAGCCACUUUUGAAGAACUGUUCUAUUAUAUAGUUUGGUCAGCAGCUCAGCUCCAUAUUUUCACCCACCACAAUGUUCAGAUCAAUACUCUUGGUCCUCAUGAUUUACUGAACCUGAAUUUCUCUAACUGCUCCAUUAACUCUUUGGAAAGGUUUCUCCCUUUGUUAGCACUGGAUCAUGAUUUUCCAUAAAAUUUGCCCUUGAGCAAGCAAUUCUCUCAUCAUUCUCGCUAGGGAAAUUGUCUUGCUCCUGCCCCACCCCCCCAACUCUCCAGCCUUCUUCGCUUUCUUUAGAACUUUGUUUCAUGAACCUGCAUUUUGCCUGCUAAUUAGUGUUUUUGAAUAUACACUUGCUAUUGAGCUUGGAAUCUAUGGGGGUUUCUCUGAAACCAGUUUGUGACUUCCAAAUUCUUUGUGUCAGUUAAUAUUUCCCUAACUUGGUUAUUAACUUUGGAUCUUAUUGUUUCUAUGUUUUGGUGCUAACGGGCUUGGCGCCAUGGCCCCAGUCUCUGCGUACCCUGUCCUGUGUUCACGUUCAUACUGUUGUUUCCCUUCAUCCUGGGCACGCAGGGGUCUGGUGGCCAAACAGCCCAUAAUAAAAGGUGAAUUCACUCACAGUGUGCCCCUUUGUUCCAGAGAAUAUUUUGCCCCUCUGAUCCUCAGCUUCAGCAUCAUGGAAAAGCAUUUGUCAAGCCCCUAAUUGCCAGAGUGCUGCACUAAGCACUCCACAAAGAGUUCCACCACCACGGUAGGGCCAAGUGUGACAGAGUCAGGUGUGGGUGUAGGAGGAAAUUGCUAUGGCUGUGGCCCUUGGACACAGUCUUGCAAUUUGACAGAAAAAAAUGAUGUCUUCCCAGGUAUGCCCAGCAAUGCUGAGAUACCUGACUUGGGCUGGGGGCAUGGAAGCAGCAGUAUAUAUGCCGCGGUGGGGAUGGUGUAGAGAGAUACCCCAGAAAAGAGGAAGGGGGAGCAAGCUGUUUUUUCCUCAGGAAGCCUGAAGGGUAAGCCCCUGAGAGGAAUCUACAGCAUCAGCAAGUGGCACCCUCCUCAACAGUUUGCCAGGGAGGGGACAAACAUCAAAGUCCCUACAAGUCAUAGCAUUUGGACAAGUGUUGGCCUAUUGGAGCCGAUAAUCCAUCUGGGGAGGACACAAACACAUAAAUAAGAGUAUAACACAGAAUCACAUAAAAGGCACAAACAAAUAAAGAAGUGACACACAUGAAGAGCAAGGGAUGUUUUGUGUAUGGAGGGGGAGAGGGGUGCUGAAGCCAUACAAU